rnacentral:rRNA from 1 species
GACGAACGCUGGCGGCGUGCUUAACACAUGCAAGUCGAACGGAAAGGCCCUGCUUGCAGGGUACUCGAGUGGCGAACGGGUGAGUAACACGUGGGUGGUCUGCCCUGCACUUCGGGAUAAGCCUUGGAAACUGGGUCUAAUACCGGAUAGGAGCCAUUUUUAGUGUGAUGGUUGGAAAGUUUUUUCGGUGUAGGAUGAGCUCGCGGCCUAUCAGCUUGUUGGUGGGGUAAUGGCCUACCAAGGCGGCUACGGGUAGCCGGCCUGAGAGGGUGGACGGCCACAUUGGGACUGAGAUACGGCCCAGACUCCGACGGGAGGCAGCAGGGGGGAAUAUUGCACAAUGGGAGCAAGCCUGAUGCAGCGACGCCGCGGGGGGGAUGACGGCCUUCGGGUUGUAAACGCCUUUCGCUAGGGACGAAGCUUUUUGUGACGGUACCUAGAUAAGAAGCACCGGCUAACUACGUG